GAUGAACGCUGGCGGCGUGCUUAACACAUGCAAGUCGAACGGGAAUUACUUUAUUGAAACUUCGGUCGAUUUAAUUUAAUUCUAGUGGCGGACGGGUGAGUAACGCGUGGGUAACCUGCCUUAUACAGGGGGAUAACAGUCAGAAAUGACUGCUAAUACCGCAUAAGCGCACGGAGCUGCAUGGCUCAGUGUGAAAAACUCCGGUGGUAUAAGAUGGACCCGCGUUGGAUUAGCUAGUUGGUGAGGUAACGGCCCACCAAGGCGACGAUCCAUAGCCGGCCUGAGAGGGUGAACGGCCACAUUGGGACUGAGACACGGCCCAGACUCCUACGGGAGGCAGCAGUGGGGAAUAUUGCACAAUGGGGGAAACCCUGAUGCAGCGACGCCGCGUGAAGGAAGAAGUAUCUCGGUAUGUAAACUUCUAUCAGCAGGGAAGAAAAUGA
rnacentral:rRNA from 1 species